CGACAUUUAUGAAAAGCAGGCUCUCAAUGUUAUUGACAUCGCGCAAUUUGGUUCUCAAAGUCGAUUAAAAUAAGUACCGUUAAAAUUACUGAAAGUUUAGUUGCAAAUUAUCAAUAUCAUUUUAUCUGCUUUAUGGAUGAUCAUGGUUAUGAAUGUUAUUAUGAGAAAAAAGUGAUUAGCUACAGAAGUUACAUUACGUCUCGAGCGAUCCAAAGCGUAGCAACACGUAUGAUACGUCAAUACGUGUCGGAGCCAAAAAAAGCAACAAUGACUAAAUUUUCUGUGGCAGUCAGCGUAUUGCAUUCUUCAAGAUUGUAUGUGAAAGUUUUUUUGCAGGUCCAAUUUUUAAAAGGACUUUUUAAAAUAAAAUAUAAAAGCUAAUAAAAACUAAUAAUAAAAAAACAA